GAAUCUUUAGUUUAAUUAAGAAUAAUUCAUUUACGAUGAAUAAGUUUGUGGAUUCU
rnacentral:tRNA from 1 species